rnacentral:rRNA from 1 species
UACGUAGGGUGCGAGCGUUGUCCGGAAUUAUUGGGCGUAAAGAGCUCGUAGGCGGUCUGUCGCGUCGAUCGUGAAAACUUGGGGCUUAACCCUGAGCUUGCGUCGAUACGGCAUGACUGGAGUUCGGCAGGGAGACUGGAAUUCCUGGUGUAGCGGUGAAAUGCGCAGAUAUCAGGAGGAACACCGGUGGCGAAGGCGGGUCUCUGGGCCGAUACUGACGCUGAGGAGCGAAAAGCGUGGGGGAGCGAACAGG